GCGUCUGUAGCUCAGUUGGUAGAGCAGCUGACUCUUAAUCAGCGGGCCAAAGGUUCAAAUCCUUUCAGACGCACCA
rnacentral:tRNA from 1 species